CAGUCGCCGCGUAAUACGAAGGGGGCUAGCGUUGCUCGGAAUCACUGGGCGUAAAGGGCUCGCAGGCGGUUUCUUAAGUCUGAUGUGAAAGCCCCCGGCUCAACCGGGGAGGGUCAUUGGAAACUAGGAAACUUGAGUGCAGAAGAGGAGAGUGGAAUUCCACGUGUAGCGGUGAAAUGCGUAGAGAUGUGGAGGAACACCAGUGGCGAAGGCGACUCUCUGGUCUGUAACUGACGCUGAGGAGCGAAAGCGUGGGGAGCGAACAGGAUUAGAUACCCCUGUAGUCCCUGUCUCUUAUACA
rnacentral:rRNA from 1 species